rnacentral:rRNA from 1 species
UACGGAGGGGGCUAGCGUUGUUCGGAAUUACUGGGCGUAAAGCGCGCGUAGGCGGACCUGCAAGUCGGGGGUGAAAGCCCGAGGCUCAACCUCGGAACUGCCUUCGAUACUGCGGGUCUCGAGUCCGGGAGAGGUGAGUGGAAUUCCUAGUGUAGAGGUGAAAUUCGUAGAUAUUAGGAAGAACACCAGUGGCGAAGGCGGCCAUCUGGCUCGGUACUGACGCUCAGGCGCGAAAGCGUGGGGAGCAAACAGG